AGUAAGGUCAGCUAAAUAAGCUUUUGGGCCCAUACUCCAAAUAUGUUGGUUA
rnacentral:tRNA from 1 species